CAGUAGCCGCGGGAAAACGGAGGGUGCAAGCGUUAUCCGGAUUUAUUGGGUUUAAAGGGUCCGUAGGCGGAUCUGUAAGUCAGUGGUGAAAUCUCACAGCUUAACUGUGAAACUGCCAUUGAUACUGCAGGUCUUGAGUAAAUUUGAAGUGGCUGGAAUAAGUAGUGUAGCGGUGAAAUGCAUAGAUAUUACUUAGAACACCAAUUGCGAAGGCAGGUCACUAAGAUUUAACUGACGCUGAUGGACGAAAGCGUGGGGAGCGAACAGGAUUAGAUACCCCAGUAGUCCCUGUCUCUUAUAC
rnacentral:rRNA from 1 species